UGCGUGUCAGCUGUGCAGCUGGUUGUUUUGAUUUUAGUAUUAAGUGAUGUUACAUUGUUUCUUUAUUUGUAUUUGUUUAGUGUGACACUCGGCCAUUGAGGCUGUGCGCGUUUCCGCGGUGACACUCACAUUGUGUGUGGCGUGCCUUCGGGGCUUCCACCGGUGUGGCAUCUUCUAAUAGCCGCGUCGGAUUACCAGCUGUUUAUUGACUCACUAACGGACCCAUCGUAUGAUUUCUGUGUGCAUGUGAUUUACGUGUGUGUGCGUGCCGAUAUUAAAUCAGGGAAAUCUCUUUGCCCGCUUUAAAGCAAGGUUGAGCAGCUACAUUAACAACUUGCUAUCAGAACCCCUUGCUUUUUGAGCCACGUCUGCUGCUUUGGAGGAAAUAGAACUGAUUGCUGUGAUUCCAUCCCGUUUGCUGUUCAGGCGAGCUGUUUCAGGCUCGAGUGGGCCUGAAUGUGUUUUUUUUGAUUUCAUGAUUUUGUUUAUCUCAUUUCUUUUUUUUGUGUGUAUUCCACAGGAGCUGAGUUUUCCUGGAAGCAGGCUGGUGGUGGUAGCUGCACGGCCUUCACCUUAACUGGGGUUUAUUAGUGUUGUCAUCUCUGAUCACAAUUUGUAGUGGAGUGAUUUUUUUUUUAAAUCGUGUUUUCCUUGCCGUGUGCAGCUAUAGCUAGCCUGCUUGUCGGGUGCCUCAGCCCCUGUAGUGAUUUACUUUUUGUUUUUUUUUG